GGAGGAUCAUUAUUGAUUGUAAACUGUUGCCCUCUGUGCUGGCUCCUGCAAGUGCACGUUGGUGACUUUCAUUCCAAUACCCUUGUGAACCUUUGGCCUCUUGCUAGCUUCCGCUGGCAGAGGAUUCUACAUACAAACUCGAAUGUAAUGAAACUCUUGUUGUGCACAAGCACUACUAUAUACAACUUUCAACAACGGAUCUCUUGGCUCUCGCAUCGAUGAAGAACGCAGCGAAAUGCGAUAAGUAAUGUGAAUUGCAGAAUUCAGUGAAUCAUCGAAUCUUUGAACGCACCUUGCACCCUUUGGCAUUCUGAAGGGUAUGCUCGUUUGAGUGUCAUUGUACUCUCACACUUCCGAUCUUGCAUUGGGAGCGGUGGACUUGGGUUUGCUGCUUUACCGUAGCUUACCUCAAAUGUGUUAGUGCAGCUCUUGGUUGGACAUAAUACGGCGUGAUAAGUAUCUUCGCCGGUGCCUCGCAAGAGGGUGGCCGAUCAGGAUGGUGUGCUCCAAACCGUCUUCGGACAAUCUCUGACAACUUGACCUCAAAUCGAGUAAGACUACCCGCUGAACUUAAGCAUAUCAAUAAGCGGAGGA
rnacentral:rRNA from 1 species